UGGGGAAUAUUGGGCAAUGGGCGCAAGCCUGACCCAGCAACGCCGCGUGAAGGAAGAAGGCUUUCGGGUUGUAAACUUCUUUUAAGAGGGACGAAGGAAGUGACGGUACCUCUUGAAUAAGCCACGGCUAACUACGUGCCAGCAGCCGCGGUAAUACGUAGGUGGCAAGCGUUAUCCGGAUUUAUUGGGUGUAAAGGGCGUGUAGGCGGGAGCGCAAGUCAGAUGUGAAAACUCAGGGCUCAACCCUGAGCCUGCAUUUGAAACUGUGUUUCUUGAGUGCUGGAGAGGCAAUCGGAAUUCCGU
rnacentral:rRNA from 1 species